GACGAACCGAGCGAACGUUAUUCGGAAUCACUGGGCUUAAAGGGCGCGUAGGCGGGCCGGCAAGUCAGGGGUGAAAGCCCCCAGCUCAACUGGGGAAGUGCCUUUGAUACUGCCGGCCUCGAGGGAGGUAGGGGCGUGCGGAACUUCCGGUGGAGCGGUGAAAUGCGUAGAUAUCGGAAGGAACACCGGUGGCGAAAGCGGCGCGCUGGACCUCUUCUGACGCUGAGGCGCGAAAGCCAGGGGAGCGAACGGG
rnacentral:rRNA from 1 species